rnacentral:lncRNA from 1 species
UUUAUUACAAACCCUGGUGUUUAACCCACUUCAGUCACACUUGUGAGGCUAUGCCACCGCCUUCACUCCUGUGUCAGGUCAGGAACACACAUACACAGACCCGCUGAUCUUUGCCAUGUUAAGAGUGUACAUACACAUACCCAGUGGUAUAAUAUACAUACUGUCAGGAACACUUCUCUUCUCCACCACAAACUACAAGCAAAUACAGGUUCAGUGACCCAAGAGCUAAAGGCAAAGCAACACUCGGAUGGGCACUAUGAAAGAGCCCUUCUCUUUUGAGGUUACUUGAACAUCUGGUCCAGAUUUUAAGGGAAUGAAACAAGGAAGAGUGUGUUACAUUUUAAAAGCAGUAAAGGCUAAGAAAAUGUAAAAUUCAGUGAGCAGAAGCUCAGCCAUCACUGAAUGAGAGUAGAGCAGGGGAGCUGGGCCCCCUCAUUUGUAGCAGAAACUUCCCUACGCAACACGAAGUUCUAGAA